rnacentral:rRNA from 1 species
CCUGAGAAACCUAAAAGUUCGAAAAGAGAGAUUCAACGUUGACAUAUACAGUAUUCACGUGAGUAGUGAUGCUGAUUUCGUUGGCUGGGUUACACCUUCCAUUCGAAGCUGGCACAUUUUCAUGUUAUUUUAUUGCUGUAGUAUUGUCGGCGUGCACUUCUCUCUUAGUAGGACGUCCCGACCCGUUAAGUCUUAGCCUACGGCCCGAAUGGUAGCCUUUAAUAUUUUCAUAUUAAAGACCUUUGGUGUUUGUCUGGCCUAAGUACUUGACGGUAGUUACGAUAUGGUAUUAAGCCGCAAAUUUUUUUGCGUCCGGCCUGCCGCAAGUUUAUUGACAAAUUCUGUAUCAUCAUAGACUUUGUGCUAUGUAUAUGGUUUUGUUGGCUGUUUGCAUGGCUGUGCUCUUGGACAGGCUUUUUAUAUACCUGUCGGGGACGCUUAGGCUUUGGGUACUCUCAGGACCCGUCUUGAAACACGGACCAAGGAGUCUAACAUGUACGCGAGUCAUUGGGUAUAUAUUUUCCUUCGGGAAUUUAUAUAAAACAAACCUAAAGGCGAAAUGAAAGUAAAGGUUGGACCUUGUGUCCAACUUCGGGAUGAUGGGUUAUUAAUUUAUCCCCGCAAUCCCAGGGCGUCUUAAUCUCAUUGCGAGAUGU